UACAACACAAACCCGUCUCAAGCUGCUGACAAUCAGUGAUUUCAGACAGCUGGAUUCAGUCUUGGUUUUCGUUCUGAAGUCUCUGCUUCCUGAAACACGAGCUCUCUGUUGGUAGCAUCUUUCUUAAUUCAAAAUCAAGUCUUAAAAUGUCUAAAACAUAUAUAAACAAACAUACAUACUUAUAUAUUUUAAUUAUCAUUACUUAGGUGUUUCUAUAGCUAGAUUGGGAUAAGUUAUUCCAAAUUAUUCAAGUCUUUCAUUUAGUUUGUUUUGUGAGUAAAUGAAUGCUUUUUUGUAAGGGAUGGAAACAAGGGGAGUGACGUAUGAGUUGGCAUCUGACCUUGUAGAAAGGGCUUUGUGUGAUGUGCUUCAGACAGGAAGAAAAAGAAUUUACAAAAUGUGUUUUUAUUGUUGAUUUGAAAACCUUGACUUUUGAGGUGGGAUAUUUAUACGAAUAGAGAAUGGGCUGGUAAUUCAAUUCCCUAACCUGCAGUCUUUUACUACAGAAUCGAGUAGGGGAGCAGAGCUGAUCAGUGUUUAAGUGCACGGAUGGAUUAGGCAAAGGAUAGAGAAUGGACUUGCUUAGGGCAUCAGCAAAAAACCAUCUGCCUCCACUACUGAAAAGAGAAUUCUGAACCCGAACUUUUUCUGGAGGCUUGGAAGUCCAAGAUCAUGGUACUGACAGAUUUGGUGUCUGGGAAGACAGCUAGCUGCCAUGGUGUAAGCUGCUUUAUGGAGAGGCCCACGUGACAAGAAACUGAGGAAGUUCUCUGGCCAAUAAGCAGCAAAGAACUGAAUCCUGCCAACAGCCGCAUGAAUGAGAUUAGAAACGUAUCCUUUCCCCGUCAACCCUUCAGAUGAAACCUUGGUCUUGGUAAACAUCCUGACUUCAGUCCAUAAGAGAACUUGAGACACCAGCACCCAGCUUCACUUCUAUUGGGUGGGCCAAAAAGUGCCUUUGGUUUCUUAAGUAAAAAUAAAAGACACAUUUUUCAUUUUCACCAAGAACUUUAUUGAACAACAUAUUUAUUUACCCUUUUGUUCCACUACCAUCUGUCAUUUUUCAGGCAACUUCAUAAUUCCAUCUUCCCAAAAUGUUUUAGCUUUUUGAGCAAAUAACUUUUCCAGGUGUCUUUUACAGUCUUCCAGCGAAUUGAAAUUUCUUCCAUUAAGAGAAUUUUGUAAAGACUGAA